GAUGAACGCUGGCGGCGUGCCUAAUACAUGCAAGCCGAGCGAACAGACGAGGAGCUUGCUCCUCUGACGUUAGCGGCGGACGGGUGAGUAACACGUGGAUAACCUACCUAUAAGACUGGGAUAACUUCGGGAAACCGGAGCUAAUACCGGAUAAUAUAUUGAACCGCAUGGUUCAAUAGUGAAAGACGGUUUUGCUGUCACUUAUAGAUGGAUCCGCGCCGCAUUAGCUAGUUGGUAAGGUAACGGCUUACCAAGGCAACGAUGCGUAGCCGACCUGAGAGGGUGAUCGGCCACACUGGAACUGAGACACGGUCCAGACUACUACGGGAGGCAGCAGUAGGGAAUCUUCCGCAAUGGGCGAAAGCCUGACGGAGCAACGCCGCGUGAGUGAUGAAGGUCUUCGGAUCGUAAAACUCUGUUAUUAGGGAAGAACAAAUGUGUAAGUAACUAUGCACGUCUUGACGGUACCUAAUCAGAAAGCCACGGCUAACUACGUG
rnacentral:rRNA from 1 species